UGCUUUGCGCAGUGGCAGUAUCGUAGCCUAUGAGGUUAAUCCAAGAUACAAUUAUUGCUAAUUGAAAACUGGACACAGUACUCCAGAUGCA
rnacentral:snRNA from 1 species